rnacentral:rRNA from 1 species
UACGUAGGGGGCGAGCGUUAUCCGGAUUUAUUGGGUUUAAAGGGUGCGUAGGCUGGUAAUUAAGUCAGUGGUGAAAUACUCCGGCUCAACCGGGGGGCUGCCGUUGAUACUGGUUACCUUGAGUUUAGAUGAUGUGGGCGGAAUGUGUCAUGUAGCGGUGAAAUGCAUAGAGAUGACACAGAACACCGAUAGCGAAGGCAGCUCACAAAGCUAUUACUGACGCUGAUGCACGAAAGCGUGGGGAUCAAACAGGAUUA